rnacentral:rRNA from 1 species
UACGUAGGGUGCGAGCGUUGUCCGGAAUUAUUGGGCGUAAAGAGCUUGUAGGCGGUUUGUCGCGUCUGCCGUGAAAAUCCGGGGCUCAACCCCGGACUUGCGGUGGGUACGGGCAGGACUAGAGUGUUGCAGGGGAGACUGGAAUUCCUGGUGUAGCGGUGAAAUGCGCAGAUAUCAGGAGGAACACCGGUGGCGAAGGCGGGUCUCUGGGCAACAACUGACGCUGAGGAGCGAAAGCGUGGGGAGCGAACAGG